UACCAGCACCCCGAGUGGUCGGGACGAUUAUUGGGCCUAAAGCAUCCGUAGCCGGUUCUACAAGUCUUCCGUUAAAUCCACCUGCUCAACAGUUGGGCUGCGGAGGAUACUAUAGAGCUAGGAGGCGGGAGAGGCAAGCGGUACUUAGUGGGUAGGGGUAAAAUCCGUUGAUCCAUUGAAGACCACCAGUGGCGAAGGCGGCUUGCCAGAACGCGCUCGACGGUGAGGGAUGAAAGCUGGGGGAGCAAACCGG
rnacentral:rRNA from 1 species